rnacentral:rRNA from 1 species
GUAGUCAUAUGCUUGUCUCAAGAUUAAGCCAUGCAUGUCUAAGUAUAAGCAAUCUAUACGGUGAAACUGCGAAUGGCUCAUUAAAUCAGUUAUCGUUUAUUUGAUAGUACCUUACUACAUGGAUACCUGUGGUAAUUCUAGAGCUAAUACAUGCUGAAAACCCCAACUUCGGGAGGGGUGUAUUUAUUAGAUAAAAAACCAACGCCCUUCGGGGCUUCUUGGUGAUUCAUGAUAACUUUACGGAUCGCAUGGCCUUGCGCCGGCGACGGUUCAUUCAAAUUUCUGCCCUAUCAACUUUCGAUGGUAAGGUAUUGGCUUACCAUGGUUUCAACGGGUAACGGGGAAU